rnacentral:rRNA from 1 species
AGAACGAACGCUGGCGGCAUGCCUAACACAUGCAAGUCGAACGCUCCUGGGGCUUCGGUCUCAGGGGAGUGGCGCACGGGUGAGUAGCGCGUGGGAACCUGCCCUGUUGUGGGGGAUAACCGAGGGAAACUUCGGCUAAUACCGCAUAAGCCGGUUGUCUUGAAAGGGAUGGCCGGGAAAGAUUUAUCGCGACAGGAGGGGCCCGCGUCGGAUUAGCUAGUUGGUGGGGUAACGGCCCACCAAGGCAGUGAUCCGUAGCUGGUCUGAGAGGAUGAUCAGCCACACUGGGACUGAGACACGGCCCAGACUCCUACGGGAGGCAGCAGUGGGGGAAUAUUGGACAAUGGGCGCAAGCCUGAUCCAGCAAUGCCGCGUGAGUGAUGAAGGCCUUAGGGUUGUAAAGCUCUUUCGCCCGCGACGAUGAUGACGGUAGCGGGAGAAGAAGCCCCGGCUAACUUCGUGCCAGCAGCCGC